CCUAUAAUCGUUUUAAUCGAUGGGGGGACGCAGUAGGAUAGGCGAAGCGUGCGAUUGGAUUGCACGUCUAAGCAGUAAGGCUGAGUAUUAGGCAAAUCCGGUACUCGUUAAGGCUGAGCUGUGAUGGGGAGAAGACAUUGUGUCUUCGAGUCGUUGAUUUCACACUGCCGAGAAAAGCCUCUAGAUAGAAAAUAGGUGCCCGUACCGCAAACCGACACAGGUAGUCAAGAUGAGAAUUCUAAGGUGAGCGAGCGAACUCUCGUUAAGGAACUCGGCAAAAUGACCCCGUAACUUCGGGAGAAGGGGUGCUCUUUAGGGUUAACGCCCAGAAGAGCCGCAGUGAAUAGGCCCAAGCGACUGUUUAUCAAAAACACAGGUCUCUGCUAAACCGUAAGGUGAUGUAUAGGGGCUGACGCCUGCCCGGUGCUGGAAGGUUAAGAGGAGUGGUUAGCUUCUGCGAAGCUACGAAUCGAAGCCCCAGUAAACGGCGGCCGUAACUAUAACGGUCCUAAGGUAGCGAAAUUCCUUGUCGGGUAAGUUCCGACCCGCACGAAAGGCGUAACGAUUUGGGCACUGUCUCAACGAGAGACUCGGUGAAAUCAUAGUACCUGUGAAGAUGCAGGUUACCCG
rnacentral:rRNA from 1 species